rnacentral:rRNA from 1 species
UACGUAGGGAGCAAGCGUUGUUCGGAUUUACUGGGCGUAAAGGGCGCGUAGGCGGCGUGUCAAGUCGAUUGUGAAAUCUCCGGGCUUAACUCGGAACGGCCAAUCGAUACUGACGUGCUAGAGUGCAGAAAGGGCAAUCGGAAUUCUUGGUGUAGCGGUGAAAUGCAUAGAUAUCGGGAGGAACACCAGUGGCGAAGGCGAGUCUCUGGGCUGAUACCGACGCUGAGGCGCGAAAGCCAGGGGAGCAAACGGG